GUGUCCCCAGUGUCCCUGUGGAUGUCCCCAGUGUCCCCAGUGUCCCCGCAGGUGUCCCCACAGGUGUCCCCAGUGUCCCCAGUGUCCCCAGUGUCCCUGUCCCCGCAGGUGCUGGCCAAGGCGCUGCCGCAGGCGCAGGGGAAGCAGUUUGUGACGGUGACAGCGCGGGUGGCCGCGGUGACGCUGGAGAAGGUCCUGCUGGUGUCCCUGCAGAGCGGCCACGUCUUCCUGCAGACCGACAAGCCCAUCUACACCCCCGGGGCCACCGGUGAGCGCUGCGGGGACACCGGGGACAGAUGGGGACAGCUGGGGACAGAUGGGGACAGCUGGGGACAGAUGGGGACAGCUGGGGACAGAUGGGGACAGAUGGGGACAAAUGGGGACAGAUGGGGACACCGGGGACAACUGGGGACAGCUGGGGACAGAUGGGGACAGAUGGGGACAGAUGGGGACACCGGGGACAACUGGGGACACCUGGAGACAGCUGGGGACAGAUGGGGACAGAUGGGGACACCUGGGGACACCUGGGGACACCUGGGGACAGAUGGGGACAUCAGGGACAGCUGGGGACAAAUGGGGACAUUGGGGACAUCUGGGGACACCUGGAGACAGCUGGGGACAGCUGGGGACAGAUGGGGACAGAUGGGGACAGCAGGGACAGAUGGGGACAGCUGGGGACAGCUGGGGACACCUGGGGACAGAUGGGGACAGAUGGGGACAGAUGGGGACAGAUGGGGACAGCAGGGACAGCUGGGGACAGCUGGGGACAACCUGGGGACAGCUGGGGACACCCAGAGACACCCAGAGACACCCAGGGACAUCUGGGGGGACAUCUGGGACGCUGGGGACACCCCUGGGGACACCUGGGGACACCUGGGGACAUCUGGGACACCAUGGGGACGUCUGGGGACACUGCGGGGAGGGUGACACUGUGGGGACAUCACAGGCGUGAGGACACUGUGGGGACAUCACAGGCAUGGGGACACACACGUCCCCACAUGUCCCCUCACCUUGUCCCCUGUGUCCCCUCCCAGUCCUCUGCCGCCUCUUCACCGUGGGCCACCUCAUGCAGCCGGUGGCCAAGACGGUCAUCGUGGAGCUCAAGACGCCCGACAACGUCAUCAUCAAACAAGUGCCGGUGUCGUCGCCGAAGAAAACCGGGAUCCUGUCCCUCAACCACAACCUGCCCGAGGUCGUCAGCUUGGGCAUGUGGACGAUUUCGGCCAAAUUCGAGGAUUCUCCGGAUCAGGUUUUCAGCACCCAGUUCGAGGUCAAGGAAUACGUGCUGCCGAGCUUUGAGGUGGCCCUGGAGCCCGAGGAGAAGUUCCUGUACAUCGACCGGCAGGAGGAUUUCCGGGUGUCCAUCGCGGCCAGGUGACCCCAAAAGUGUCCCCGUUUUGGGGACAGAAGUGUGGUGGCAGGAUGGGGACACGGGGACAUUGGUGGUGGUGGCAAGGAUGGGAUGGCAUGGACAGGGUGGCAGGAUGGGGACAUGGGGACAUCGGUGGUGGUGGCAGGAUGGGGACACGGUGACAUUGGUGGUGGUGGCA
ensembl:lncRNA